rnacentral:snRNA from 1 species
GUGCUCGCUUCAGUAACACAUACACUAAAAUUGGAACGAUACAGAGAAGAUGAGCAUGGCCCCUGCGCUUCAAGGAUGACAUGCAAAUUUGUGAAAUGUUCCAUAUUUUU